rnacentral:rRNA from 1 species
AGAGUUUGAUCCUGGCUCAGAUUGAACGCUGGCGGCAGGCUUAACACAUGCAAGUCGAGCGGUAACAGAGAUAGCUUGCUAUCUGCUGACGAGCGGCGGACGGGUGAGUAAUGCUUGGGAAUAUGCCUUUGAGUGGGGGACAACAGUUGGAAACGACUGCUAAUACCGCAUAACGUCUACGGACCAAAGGGGGGGAUCUUCGGACCUCUCGCUCAUUGAUUAGCCCAAGUGAGAUUAGCUAGUUGGUAAGGUAAUGGCUUACCAAGGCGACGAUCUCUAGCUGGUUUGAGAGGAUGAUCAGCCACACUGGGACUGAGACACGGCCCAGACUCCUACGGGAGGCAGCAGUGGGGAAUAUUGCACAAUGGGCGGAAGCCUGAUGCAGCCAUGCCGCGUGUGUGAAGAAGGCCUUCGGGUUGUAAAGCACUUUCAGUUGUGAGGAAAGGGGUGUAGUUAAUAGCUGCAUCCUGUGACGUUAACAACAGAAGAAGCACCGGCU